UACGGAGGGUGCAAGCGUUAAUCGGAAUUACUGGGCGUAAAGCGUGCGUAGGCGGUUCGUUAAGUCUGUUGUGAAAGCCCCGGGCUCAACCUGGGAAUGGCAAUGGAUACUGGCGAGCUAGAGUGUGUCAGAGGAUGGUGGAAUUCCCGGUGUAGCGGUGAAAUGCGUAGAGAUCGGGAGGAACAUCAGUGGCGAAGGCGGCCAUCUGGGACACACUGACGCUGAGGCACGAAAGCGUGGGAGCAAACAGG
rnacentral:rRNA from 1 species